GAUGAACGCUAGCGGGAGGCCUAACACAUGCAAGCCGAGCGGUAUUGUUUCUUCGGAAAUGAGAGAGCGGCGUACGGGUGCGUAACACGUGUGCAACCUGCCUUUAUCUGGGGGAUAGCCUUUCGAAAGGAAGAUUAAUACUCCAUAAUAUAUUGAACGGCAUCGUUUAAUAUUGAAAGCUCCGGCGGAUAGAGAUGGGCACGCGCAAGAUUAGCUAGUUGGUGAGGUAACGGCUCACCAAGGCGAUGAUCUUUAGGGGGCCUGAGAGGGUGAUCCCCCACACUGGUACUGAGACACGGACCAGACUCCUACGGGAGGCAGCAGUGAGGAAUAUUGGUCAAUGGGUGCAAGCCUGAACCAGCCAUCCCGCGUGAAGGACGACUGCCCUAUGGGUUGUAAACUUCUUUUGUAUAGGGGUAAACCUACCCUCGUGAGGGUAGCUGAAGGUACUAUACGAAUAAGCACCGGCUAACUCCGUGCCAGCAGCCGCAGUAA
rnacentral:rRNA from 1 species